UACGGGGGGAGCAAGCGUUGUUCGGAUUUACUGGGCGUAAAGGGCGCGUAGGCGGCCACCGCAAGUCAGUUGUGAAAUCUCUGGGCUUAACCCAGAACGGUCAGCUGAUACUGCGGGGCUAGAGUGCAGAAGGGGCAACUGGAAUUCUCGGUGUAGCGGUGAAAUGCGUAGAUAUCGAGAGGAACACCUGCGGCGAAGGCGGCGACCUGGGCCAAUACUGACGCUGAGGUGCGAAAGCGUGGGGAGCAAACAGG
rnacentral:rRNA from 1 species